rnacentral:tRNA from 1 species
GGGGAUUUGGCUCAGUGGUAGAGUGCUUGCCUAGCAAGCGCAAGGUCCUGGGUUCGGUCCCCAGCUCCA